GUCCGUAAAGGUGGAUGAGUGGUGUUUGGUUUGUCACGUGUGGUUGGCUGCGGCGUUUGCAACAACUUCCAUGCUUUCAGACCUCUUCAGUUGUGCGGCAAGGCUUGUAUCGCCUUGCCGUAUUGCGGGUUUUCUGUGUUGAAUACCUAAUCAAUGGUAUCGGUUGGAUUGAUCAAUGUUUCAUUUCGUCUGUCGUCGCAUUUGCGGCGUGAGACGAACCUUGAUGCGGUCUCUUUGGUCCACCUCGGUGAAGCACAUGCUUUGAUGUUGUGGCACAUUGAGCAUUGCUUGGUCUCUUGUAUACGGAACAUAUAGUGGGCAUGGAUCUAACGAUUCUUCUUUGCCCUCAUGUUAGCGUAACGCUUCUCUUACACGACUUGCUCCACGUUUUAGCUCGUACGGACGUGGUU
rnacentral:misc_RNA from 1 species